rnacentral:rRNA from 1 species
UACGUAGGGUGCAAGCGUUGUCCGGAAUUAUUGGGCGUAAAGCGCGCGCAGGCGGUUUCUUAAGUCUGAUGUGAAAGCCCACGGCUCAACCGUGGAGGGUCAUUGGAAACUGGGGAACUUGAGUGCAGAAGAGAAAAGCGGAAUUCCACGUGUAGCGGUGAAAUGCGUAGAGAUGUGGAGGAACACCAGUGGCGAAGGCGGCUUUUUGGUCUGUAACUGACGCUGAGGCGCGAAAGCGUGGGGAGCAACAGG